UUUUUUUAGUGACUGCGGAAGGGUCAUAUCCGAGUGCGGGCCUCUGGGUCCAACCUCCCACCCGUGUCUAUUGUACCUUGUUGCUUCGGCGGGCCCGCCGUUUCGACGGCCGCCGGGGAGGCCUCGCGCCCCCGGGCCCGCGCCCGCCGAAGACCCCAACAUGAACGCUGUUCCGAAAGUAUGCAGUCUGAGUUUGAUUAUCAUAAUCAGUUAAAACUUUCAACAACGGAUCUCUUGGUUCCGGCAUCGAUGAAGAACGCAGCGAAAUGCGAUAAGUAAUGUGAAUUGCAGAAUUCAGUGAAUCAUCGAGUCUUUGAACGCACAUUGCGCCCCCUGGUAUUCCGGGGGGCAUGCCUGUCCGAGCGUCAUUGCUGCCCUCAAGGCACGGCUUGUGUGUUGGGCCCCCCGUCCCCCGGGUUUCUCCCCCCCCGGGGGAACCGGGGGCCCCGAAAAAGGGGCCACGCCGGGCCGGGCUCACCCCGCGGUUCCGGGGUCCCCUUCCGAAGGCCGGUUAUUGGGGGGGCUUUCCGGUUUACCCCGGCCUUCCUUGGUUAUGCCCUUGGGCCCGGGGCCGCCCAGUCCCGACACCCCCACCUUUUUUUUUUUUUCCUUAAAGGGGUUUGACCCCUUACGGAUUCAGUGGUUAGGGGAUUUCACCGGUUGAAAUCUUUAAGCUAUCAAUAGGAAGGAAAAAA
rnacentral:misc_RNA from 1 species